UACGUAGGUGGCAAGCGUUGUCCGGAAUUAUUGGGCGUAAAGAGCUCGUAGGCGGUCUGUUGCGUCCGCUGUGAAAACCCGGGGCUUAACCCCUGGCUUGCAGUGGAUACGGACAGACUAGAGGUAGGUAGGGGAGAAUGGAAUUCCCGGUGUAGCGGUGAAAUGCGUAGAUAUCUGCAGGAACACCCGUGGCGAAAGCGGCGAGCUGGAUCACUACUGACGCUGAGGAACGAAAGCUAGGGGAGCAAACAGG
rnacentral:rRNA from 1 species